rnacentral:rRNA from 1 species
UACAGAGGUCUCAAGCGUUGUUCGGAUUUACUGGGCGUAAAGCGCACGUAGGCGGAUCGUUAAGUCGGGGGUGAAAUCCUGGAGCUCAACUCCAGAACUGCCUUCGAUACUGGCGAUCUUGAGUCCGGAAGGGGUGAGUGGAACUCCUAGUGUAGAGGUGGAAUUCGUAGAUAUUAGGAAGAACACCAGUGGCGAAGGCGGCUCACUGGUCCGGUACUGACGCUGAGGUGCGAAAGCGUGGGGAGCAAACAGG